CAGCAGCCGCGGGAAUACGUAGGUCCCGAGCGUUGUCCGGAUUUAUUGGGCGUAAAGCGAGCGCAGGCGGUUAGAUAAGUCUGAAGUUAAAGGCUGUGGCUUAACCAUAGUACGCUUUGGAAACUGUUUAACUUGAGUGCAGAAGGGGAGAGUGGAAUUCCAUGUGUAGCGGUGAAAUGCGUAGAGAUGUGGAGGAACACCAGUGGCGAAGGCGACUCUCUGGUCUGUAACUGACGCUGAGGAGCGAAAGCGAGGGGAGCGAACAGGAUUAGAUACCCGCGUAGUCCCUGUCUCUUAUACC
rnacentral:rRNA from 1 species